AUAGUACCGUGACAGCAAUGCAGCUUGGCACGAGAGGAUUAGUUGGUGCAGCAAGUGGUGGUCAAACCAGCGUUGCGAAGUUAAGUAGGUUGGCUAGUGGCCGAACGGUUUUGAAGCCAUAAUCGUAACCCAUGUUGAUUAAACAGUAUCAUUGUGAUCCUUUUUGUAACAAAUUUUUUACCGUCGAUGUGAAAGGGAAACUAUAUGUGCAGAUUUUGUAACAACCAACAGGAGCAGUAUUAAUCCCAUUAGCAUAGUAAUAUGCGUUUUUUUUUCCCAAUUUGCGCAAAGGCAAUGCAAAAAUUGCACCUUAACAACAGGAAAGAUUUAUCUGUGUUUGUAGACGACUAACAUCAACCCUGGGUGCCGUAAACAUGAAAGUAAACUUUGUUUUACGAUCUGUUGAGGCUUACCCUCGGUGAUAUAAGA
rnacentral:ncRNA from 1 species